rnacentral:lncRNA from 1 species
AACAGAAGCUUAGUUAAUGUAGGUCAAUAAUAUUCUUAUCGAGGAAAGCAUAAGAAUAGUGAAAACAACCAUUCUGCUUUCUUGGAGAAUGACACUUCAACCAAACAUUAAUUAUUUCUAGUACCGUUAGUUUUCAUGAGAGUACGUUAAAACAUAAUGUAAUGGAGAAAUUGAUGCCUAGGUUGGUUCUAAAAGCAACAAUCAUCACCGCAACAUGCUUUCCCACAGCGAAGCUUGAAAGGUUUCCCAACAAAAAAGCAGCAGCGACAGCCUGCAAAUAUCAUAAAUAUCAUGACCUUAAAAACUUGCAGAAGCAUUAGCAUUCAUAUUGACAUUAUAAGCAAGCAAAAGGACUAUAGCUUGGGGAUUAAAAACUUGCUCAAAUGUUCCCAGACGAGCACCGGCAGUCGCAUUUGCAAACAAACUAAUGGAUAACACGACUAAAAGCCACAUGAGACAAGUCAAAAUGGUUUGCCUUCUUGCCAUAGUCUCUUUUUUCUAGCUCGAAUUUGAUGACCAAGUACUUAAGCAUGCCAGACUCAUCUCUUUCACCACUAUUUAUGCUAAAAGUAGCAUUACUUUAAAUAAAAGAUAAUCAGAUAGAGACAAAUUUCUUGUGUUUUUAUUUAUCAAAUAUAUUCACUCUCGUCUUGGCUUGGUAUGUAACUUUGGUUGCCACUUUUGACCAAGAUAGCUUAUUCUUGAUAAUCAUUGUAUCUAAUCAUUUCCAUGUAUGAACUCCAAAACGCCAGCUGAUCCUCUGUAGCUAUAUUACUCCGACUUUUUAUUUUUAUUAAAGCAUUUUAUCGAUAUAUAUCCAAUAGUUACGAAUACAUAGAUCUAAUCUUUCAAUAUAUAUAUAUAUAUAUAUAUAUAUAUAAACUUUAAAAGAUGAACGUACUUGUGUCAACACAUAACCGACUCUGACACUUACCUUUGAGUCCGAGCAACAUAACUCUUGAGACCAUCACUGCACCACUAUAAAUGGAAGAAAUGGGGAAGCACUGUCCUCAAACAUUAUCAAUAAAAAUCUCAAGGAAAUAUGGAGACUAUAGAG